rnacentral:sRNA from 1 species
AAGGUAUGAAGAGGUUUUGGCCAACGAAUAAAUUUUACAAAAUCAUCGGUUCAAUUCGGACACAAGAAAGAAGAUUCACUGAAAGACGAACUUAUGAGAACUCUAGAGAUCACUAAUUUAGGGGGCAUGGGCUCUUAUUUAGGAUUACUGAAAAGCCUAGGAGGCUCCAAAACUAAGAUAUCUUCUUUUGUGAGAGAGCGCUAACAAGAAAGAAUUAAUCGUUCGGCAAAAUUCUUAUCUAGAGGGGGUAAAGAAGUAAUGAUUAAAUCGGUAGCUGCUGCGUUGCCUACUUAUGUAAUGUAUUAUUUUAGAUUACCAAAGUUGGUAACGUCAAAACUUACGAAUGUAGUAGCAAAACUUUGGUUGAGCUCAACUGGAGAAACAAAAGAAAUGCAAUGGAUGGCAUGGAAGAAGUUAUGCGAGAGAAAAUCUAAUAGUGGGAUUGGUUUUCAGGAUGUGGAUGAUAUAAUACUGGGUUAUU